rnacentral:rRNA from 1 species
UACGAAGGGGGCUAGCGUUGUUCGGAAUUACUGGGCGUAAAGCGUAUGCAGGCGGAUCGUUAAGUUAGAGGUGAAAUCCCGAGGCUCAACCUCGGAACUGCCUUUGAUACUGGCGAUCUUGAGUCCGGGAGAGGUGAGUGGAACUCCGAGUGUAGAGGUGAAAUUCGUAGAUAUUCGGAAGAACACCAGUGGCGAAGGCGGCUCACUGGCCCGGUACUGACGCUGAGAUACGAAAGCGUGGGGAGCAAACAGG